rnacentral:rRNA from 1 species
UAAGCGGAGGAAAAGAANCUAACAAGGAUUCCCCUAGUAACUGCGAGUGAAGCGGGAAAAGCUCAAAUUUAAAAUCUGGUGGUCUUUGNNCAUCCGAGUUGUAAUUUAGAGAAGUNUCUUCCGCGCUGGANCCGUGCACAAGUCUCCUGGAAUGGAGCGUCAUAGAGGGUGAGAAUCCCGUCUUUGGCAUGGACACACCAGGGCUUUUGUGAUGCGCUCUCGAAGAGUCGAGUUGUUUGGGAAUGCAGCUCAAAAUGGGUGGUGAACUCCAUCUAAAGCUAAAUAUUGGCGAGAGACCGAUAGCGAACAAGUACCGUGAGGGAAAGAUGAAAAGCACUUUGGAAAGAGAGUGAAACAGUACGUGAAAUUGUUGAAAGGGAAACGCUUGAAGUCAGUCACGUCGACCGAGACUCAGCCUUGCCUCGGCUUGGUGUACUUCUCGGCUGACGGGUCAGCAUCAAUUUUGCCCCUUGGAUAAUGGCGAGGGAAAUGUGACACCUUUAUGGUGUGUUAUAGUCUCUCGUCGCAUGCAAGGGUUGGGAUUGAGGAACUCAGCACGCGCCUUUUGGUGUCGGGGCUUUGCCCACGAUACGUGCUUAGGAUGUUGGCAUAAUGGCUUUAAACGACC